GAUGAACGCUGGCGGCGUGCCUAACACAUGCAAGUCGAGCGAACGGACCAGAAGUUUGCUCUUCCGAGGUUAGCGGCGGACGGGAGAGUAACACGUGGAUAACCUACCUCUAAGACUGGGAUAAUUUCGGGAAACCGGAUCUACUACCGGAUAAUAUUUUGAACCGCAUGGUUCAAAAGUGAAAUUCGGUCUUUCUUUCACUAAAAGAUUGCUCCGGCCUGGAUUAGUUAGUUGGUAAGGUAACGGCUUACCAAGGCAGCGAUGCAUAGCCGACCUGAGCGGGUGAUCGGACACACGGGAAGUGAGGCUGGGUCGAGACACUGGCGGGAGGCCGCAGUCGAGACUCUUACGCGAGGGAGGAGAGGGUAACAGAGCAACACGGGGUGAGGGAUGAAGGUGUUCGGACGGUAAAGCGAUGAUGGUAGGAGGGAACAAAAGUGCAUGUAACUGUGAAGAUAAUGACGGUACCGGGAGAAAAAGCCACGGCUAACUACGUG
rnacentral:rRNA from 1 species